rnacentral:rRNA from 1 species
UCCACGCUGUAAACAAUGUCGAUUUGGAGUUUGUUGCCUAGAGUGAUGGGCUCCGAAGCUAACGCGAUAAAUCGACCGCCUGGGGAGUACGGCCGCAAGGUUAAAACUCAAAUGAAUUGACGGGGGCCCGCACAAGCGGUGGAGCAUGUGGUUUAAUUCGAUGCAACGCGAAGAACCUUACCUGGUCUUGACAUCCAUAGAAUUCUGCAGAGAUGUGGGAGUGCCUUCGGGAACUAUGAGACAGGUGCUGCAUGGCUGUCGUCAGCUCGUGUUGUGAAAUGUUGGGUUAAGUCCCGCAACGAGCGCAACCCUUAUUCUUUGUUGCCAGCGAUUUGGUCGGGAACUCAAAGGAGACUGCCGUUGAUAAAGCGGAGGAAGGUGGGGACGACGUCAAGUCAUCAUGGCCCUUACGACCAGGGCUACACACGUGCUACAAUGGCGUAUACAAAGGGAAGCGAAGGUGCGAGCUGGAGCGGAUCUCAUAAAGUACGUCUAAGUUCGGAUUGGAGUCUGCAACUCGACUCCAUGAAGUCGGAAUCGCUAGUAAUCGUAGAUCAGAAUGCUACGGUGAAUACGUUCCCGGGCCUUGUACACACCGCCCGUCACACCAUGGGAGUGGGUUGCACCAGAAGUAGAUAGCUUAACCGCGAGGGGGGCGUUUACCACGGUGUGAUUCAUGACUGGGGUGAAGUCGUAACAAGGUAACCA